AAAAACCUCCCAAGAACUCUUCCACGCCCACCGCACAAGGGCGGAGUCACUUCCGGGUGGGUGUGGACCCCUCCCCCCUUGUCCCCUGGGCAGGGCCCCUUCCGGGCCAGAUGGGACCUUUCCACCACCCUUCCUUGGCCCAGGCUAUUCCUCCUUUGGCUUCCCAAAGCAAGAUGUCAGGUCACUGCUCAAGUGUCACCUUCUCAGAGAGAUACUAUCAAGACCAUUGUAGGAGGAAGCACACAACCAGUCUCAGAGAUAAGGCCAAAUACAUGCAUUACCUAUAAUGUAUACCUGUGACUUAGUCUCCUCUAUCUGCAGCAAGGAGAGGCAAUUGCCUGGAAGUUGAGUCAAGCCUACAGAUAUCUCUUGUCUGGUGUAAGCAAUGUUUCAAAAACUUGAAUUAUCUGCUGAUAUU
rnacentral:lncRNA from 1 species